CAAAAACAUAGCUGUAUGAGACUUAUAUAUAGUUUUUUCUGCUCAAUGAGAUAUUCAAUAGCCGCAGUACCCUGACUGUGCAAAGGUAGCAAAAUCAAUUGUCUUCUAAUUAAAGUCGCGUAUGAAUGAAUGCAUGGGGGCGAGCUAUACCACGUAUACAACAUAAAUUUACUAAGUGAGUGUAAAUUCUCAUGAGAUUAAAAUAGACGAGAAGACCCUAGAAAUUUUUAAAUUUUUUUGUUGGGGCAACAUAGUAGCAAUUAAACCUACGUUAAUGUAUUUGAAAUAUUUCUUGAUAAAUUAAAUUACUCUAGGGAUAACAGCAUAAUAUUAAAAUGUUUGUGACCUCGAUGUUGGAUUAGGAAGUUGUGGCUUAGAAGGUCCUCAAUCGUGCUCUGUU
rnacentral:rRNA from 1 species